UUUGCCAGGAUUAAACCCACGAUAUUUUACAAUUUGUAUGUGAACCCCGAUGAAGUGUUUCUAGGAGAUGGCUGCCAUGUAACCCAUGUUUUGCCAAAUGUCUACUAUGAGUUUUUCUACCAUCCUCAUGACUGUGGUAUUGUAACUCAACCUCUCCAGGAAGUUCUUCUGCUUAAAACUAAAAUCAGGUAUAUCUCAAGAGACUCUACUGUCCGAUCUGAAAUGCCUCUGUCGUGUGUCGUCCACAAUCAGCAUCAUCUUUUAAAUGCAGUUGAAAUGAGAGAUGGGGAAACUGACAAUGUUAAUGAAUGGGAGAUAGAGGUGAGGAUACACAUUGCGAAUGAAGACAUGGGCAGUAACUUCUGCAACACAAUCUUGUGUCUAUAACCUGUUCUGAAUCCUGGCUCCAGGUCAAACUUAGACGAACGCCGCUGUUAAAUGACCUGCAACCUUUGCAAAACGAACUCUCUCUAGGAAUUGGCUGUCCUGUAAACAUGGUCGAGGUGGAUUUCUUUGGGUUCCUGUAUCUUCUAACUUUUUGUGGCAUCAGAGUGAGCGAACAUGGAGUAGGUAUUCUCAUUGAAAGUUUAAUUGUAUAUGAACCAACGAAUUUUGACUUCAAUUUACACAUCCCAGUAUCAUGCUAUGUGCAAAGAAGGUUUCCAAUAAUCUUAGUAAUGAGAGGGAGAGAGAAUGAUAGCCGUCGUGAAUGCAGAAGGUCAGUGGGACAGCACCGCUCACUAUCACAUGAACUUGAAGACUUGGAAAUCCGUCCAAGAGUGUCCUAUGUGAACAGUGUUCCCUUGUUGAGCUACCUCAUUGUAUCCCUUCCUAAGUGUAAGAACAAAGCUGUACAUUCUGGAUGAUGAGGCUACCCUACUUCACCUG
ensembl:lncRNA novel transcript